rnacentral:rRNA from 1 species
UUGAACGCUGGCGGCAUGCCUUACACAUGCAAGUCGAACGGCAGCACGGGAGCAAUCCUGGUGGCGAGUGGCGAACGGGUGAGUAAUAUAUCGGAACGUGCCCAGUCGUGGGGGAUAACGUAGCGAAAGCUACGCUAAUACCGCAUACGAUCUAAGGAUGAAAGCGGGGGACUCGCAAGAGCCUCGCGCGAUUGGAGCGGCCGAUAUCAGAUUAGGUAGUUGGUGGGGUAAAGGCUCACCAAGCCAACGAUCUGUAGCUGGUCUGAGAGGACGACCAGCCACACUGGAACUGAGACACGGUCCAGACUCCUACGGGAGGCAGCAGUGGGGAAUUUUUGGACAAUUGGACGCAAGUCUGAUCCAGCCAUUCCGCGUGCAGGAUGAAGGCCCUCGGGUUGUAAACUGCUUUUGUACCGGAACGAAAAGGUUUCUAUUAAUACUUAGGAGCUCAUGACGGUACCGUAAGAAUAAGCACCGGCUAACUACGUG